rnacentral:rRNA from 1 species
GACGAACGCUGGCGGCGUGCCUAAUACAUGCAAGUCGAACGCAGGGGGGACGGGUGAGUAACACGUGGGUAACCUCCCAUCAGAGGAGAUAACACUUGGAAACAGGUGCUAAACCGAUACGGAUUGAUGAACCCGCUUGGCAUUAGCUAUUUGGUGAGGUAACGGCUCACCACGGCCACGAUGCAUAGCCGACCUGAGAGGUUGACCGGCCACACUGGGACUGAGACACGGCCCAGACUCCUACGGGAGGCAGCAGUAGGGAAUCUUCGGCAAUGGACGAAAGUCUGACCGAGCAACGCCGCGUGAGUGAAGAAGGUUUUCGGAUCGUAAAGCUCUGUUGUUAGAGAAGCGUUAUCUAACCAGAAAGCCACGGCUAACUACGUGCCAGCAGCCGCGGUAAUAC